AAUUCGAUCUGAUUCGACUCGGUGGAGAAGGUGGCGACUACAAGGCGACUCGUAACAAGGUUGAACUCGUAGUAAUGGUGUGAGUCAUAUUAUGGGUUGAGAGAUUCUGGGAAUUUUUCAUUGGUUAGUGAGGUUAGUCGAUCGAAUUUGAAGUGUUAAUGAAUUGAUGCCUCUUGAUUUGAGUUUACAACUAGAAGUCUAUGACUAACCUCAUGACUAAAAGGAAGGAAACCUUAGGUAAAGAGCUUGUUAUCUUCUUCAGGAAUUGAUUGCCUCCUUUGCAUAUUGUUGAUUUUUGUCACAACAUUGAAUCCUUACCAAACUAGACUGGAUUUCUUUUAGCUUAUGUCUUUCUUAUGAGCAGUGAAUUUUAAAUGUUCCAUUGGCUUUGAAAACUAAAGGGUUUUUUUCUCUCCUAGUUUCAACAAGACAAUGAAGGUCAGUCUCUGCUUUCUAGGAUUUCCUGUCUGAUUUCUAUGCAUGAUUAAUUUGCAGUUGGUUGCUUUUGACUACAUGUUUGUUGGUGUUUUGGGCAUUCUUUGUCAAGAAAGGAAAAAAGGGUGCCAGGUAUGAUUCCUUUAAUUCCACCUCCAUCAAUGCUUAGCACUGUCACCAUCUUUCUUUUUUCCAAGCUAGUCGGCAUUAUAUUAGUUUAGUUUGUGAUAUACAAAUCCUAAAUCAAGACUAUGAUGUUUGGUGAGUGCAACCUUUGCAAAUGUGAGUUUUGAAUAUGAAAACCCACAUCACUUAUAAUUUACUUGAUCAAUUGAUGGUCGAAAACAUGCUUGAAACUGUUUUAAUUUGGUCAACAAUUGCAUGCUUUGGGAAGCCUUGCUUGAGAAAUUUGACUUCUUUUUACUUGCCAUUAUUAGUGGAAUGUGCAAGUUCUGAUUUUUAGGAUGAAUUUGAUCCCCCAAUAAUAGAGGCCAUAGUCUUUUCACGAUGGAAAUGUAGUAUGCCUGGGAAUUCUGGUUUAUUUAUGGUCUAAUACUUCUUAGACUUUUGGUCCCCUUGCAAUGUUAGGUGCUUUAGGUGUUUCUUUCUUGUUCAUUUUUUUUAAGUAGUUAACUUGUUAAGUCAUUUUGAUAGCAUUUUAUUGAUGUCAUAAGCUGCAACAAUAUCUUUUCUUAACCCUUUUUUUUUGUCCGAUUUCAAACAAUAUCAUGCAAUUUCCUACUUGAUAAAGUCACCAGAUUUUGAUUAAUUUCUACAUCAUUGGGGCCUUGGACUGCCUAUCACUAUAAUAGCCAUGCAAUAUUUUUUUUACAAUCUGGUCUAUCAUUUUAAGUUGGUCACACUCACAGGCCAUUUAGUGAUGAUGUAUAGAUGGUGAUUUGAAUUCUGCAAGUUAUAUGGCAUGAUGCUUGAGCCUUUGCUGAAAAUUUAUCUGCAAGCAAGACUCUCUGCUUUGAAAACACCGUAUCCAUUUCAGUGGCGGAGUCAGAAAUUUAAGUCUACUGGGGCACUGAAAAAACAAAUAUCAAAACAUAAAAAAUCAUUAAGUAUAAGUUCUAUCUAUUAUAAUGGUAAUUAUUCUCAACGAAAUUUCAUAUUUUGAAAUUAUUUCAUGAUAGUCUCAUCAUCUGUACUAGUAAACAUAUCUUCCCAAUAUAUGAAAUCAAGCAAUUAUUCAUAAACUCGUCACUCGUUCGAAUGUGUAAAUGAGUCUUCACAAUGUUCAUAGUAGAAUAUGAAACCAAAUUGUGCUUCUUUGUCACUGCUACCAGAUUUAAUUGUAGUUGAUGAGCAAAUAAUGCACAUAAAAGACACAUUUAUUUUCAUUCAAAAUAGGAGUAGUGAGAAUCAACAGAAACUACUGUGACAAUAUUAUUUGGAAAAGAAUUGGCCGAGAAUUGUUACUUAACAAUAUAUAUACAUAUUUUGAUGUUAAAAAUCUGUAAGUAAGAAGAAAUAAGAAUCAUUAAUUAUAAUUAAUUCUACUAUAUAUUAGAAAAUAGAAAUAUUAUAUAAUAUAUCAUCGAGAUCAAUAAGGGGAGCACCCUCCAAAAAAACAGAAAAACAUAAAAAAAAA